rnacentral:rRNA from 1 species
UACAGAGGUGGCAAGCGUUGUUCGGAAUUACUGGGCGUAAAGGGCUCGUAGGUGGCCAACUAAGUCAGACGUGAAAUCCCUCGGCUUAACCGGGGAACUGCGUCUGAUACUGGAUGGCUUGAGAUUGGGAGAGGGAUGCGGAAUUCCAGGUGUAGCGGUGAAAUGCGUAGAUAUCUGGAGGAACACCGGUGGCGAAGGCGGCAUCCUGGACCAACACUGACACUGAGGAGCGAAAGCCAGGGGAGCAAACGGG